rnacentral:rRNA from 1 species
GAUGAACGCUGGCGGCGUGCCUAAUACAUGCAAGUCGAGCGAACGGACGAGAAGCUUUCUCCCCUGAUGUUAGCGGCGGACGGGUGAGUAACACGUGGAUAACCUACCUAUAAGACUGGGAUAAUUUCGGGAAACCGGAGCUAAUACCGGAUAAUAUUUUGAACCGCAUGGUUCAAAAGUGAAAGACGGUCUUGCUGUUACUUAUAGAUGGAUCCGCGCUGCAUUGGCUAGUUGGUAAGGUAACGGCUUACCAAGGCAACGAUGCAUAGCCGACCUGAGAGGGUGAUCAGCCACACUGGAACUGAGACACGGUCCAGACUCCUACGGGAGGCAGCAGUAGGGAAUCUUCCGCAAUGGGCGAAAGCCUGACGGAGCAACACCGCGUGAGUGAUGAAGGUCUUCGGAUCGUAAAACUCUGUUAUUAGGAAAGAACAUAUGUGUAAGUAACUGUGCACAUCUUGACGGUACCUAAUCAAUAAGCCACGGCUAACUACGUG